rnacentral:rRNA from 1 species
AACGAACGCUGGCGGCGUGGAUAAGACAUGCAAGUCGAGCGCGAUUUGCGCGGUAGCAAUACUGCGCAAGUUGAGCGGCGCAAGGGUGCGUAACACGUGGGUAAUUUGCCGUGAAGUUGGGGAUAACUCGCUGAAAGGCGAGCUAAUACCGGAUGUGGUUUGGGAGAGGCAUCACUUCUUAACUAAAGCUGGGGAUCGCAAGACCUGGCGCUUCAUGAUAAGCCCGCUGCCUAUCAGCUAGUUGGUGGGGUAACGGCUCACCAAGGCUAAGACGGGUAGCUGGUCUGAGAGGACGACCAGCCACACUGGAACUGAGACACGGUCCAGACACCUACGGGUGGCAGCAGUCGAGAAUUUUCUCAAUGGGCGCAAGCCUGAAGGAGCAACGCCGCGUGGGGGAUGAAGGGUUUCGAUCCGUAAACCCCUGUCAUUUGCGAACAAUGCUCAUCCAAUAACACUGGGUGAGUUGAUAGUAGCGGAAGGA